GAAGACGGCGCGAAGGAGGUGUAUCAUGGCGUCGGAGCUGCAAGUACCAGUCAGCAUACAUUUGAUCACGGAUUUCUUCAUCGCUACCUAAUUUUGGCGAAAUGAAGGAAUAGCACAACUUUACUGACGGAGAAAAAAAGUUUUGGCUAAGGAAUGCACGCAGUUGUCAGUGUGAACUGGUGGAUGGUUAAGAAGCUGAUGUGUCUUCUAGAAAUCUAAACAAAUUUGUGCAGAAUAUGAGACAGACAGAAUAACCAUAGGCCCAUUAGUGUCAACUGUCUUUGCCAGUGGAUGGAUCCACACUACAAAACUUAUGAAGAUGAUUGCAAACCGAAGAACAGUCCUUGGACAAAGCAUUAAACCCUCUUGGUCCCCACUACACAGACUAAUGACGUUGAAGUACCCAAAUGAAGACACUAGCAGUGUUAUUAUGGAGUAUAUGGAUACAGACGUUGGCAGCACUCAGGAGGUGAUCCAGAGGAAUCAUGGGAAUCUAUGUCAUACGAUUUGAAGGUGCAGACAUUGAAGACAGCCCAGCAGAUGUUGGAGUGUUGGUAGAUAAAUUUCUUCAGGACCUUAGCAGUAAACCCUAUGAAAAAACAUGUUGCUGGGACUGAUAUAUGGAUUAAACUUGAACUCCUGAAAUCAGGUACAUAUUUGGAGUACUGCAGAAGUUAUUUCUGGAGCCAGUUCCUGUUCCUGGAUUAAGGUUUGAUUGGUUACCUUUAUAUGCCAAUUAGAAAAGGACAGUAGUUUAAUAUUUCUGUAAUUUUGUAAUGUGGUUGUAACUGUAAUUGUUGCUCUUGUUUAACAAAUACACUUGAUAAUUUGUGACAUCUUGUCUUUUGUGAUUC